AGAGGAAGUAAAAGUCGUAACAAGGUUUCCGUAGAUAUCCUUCUUUGAAGCCUUCUGCACAACGACUAUAACCAUGUGCACAGUCCCUGCAGGCAAGGGGGCAACGUCACCUAUGUGCUGGAAUCCACUUCUGUGGGAACCAACAGCCGGGUAUACACCUAUUAGGUUAUAUCUGGUCUACAGAUUAGGCGGUGGCGGUCAGUAUAUCUCUCUUUUGCGUGAUAAUGAUGCAAUAAUUUAUUGGUUAUAAGAUAUAGCUCUCUAGGUUAUUGAUCCAGCACUAUUGCAAGAAGGGCAGGUACUGAUUAAGAUAUAAUCGGUCGCUAUUACCAGUAUAAAUAGCUGAGAAACGUUCCGUAGGUGAACCUGCGGAAGGAUCAUUAUCGAGUUAGGGUCCUCUGGGCCCCACCUCCAACCCUUGCCUAAAUUACCAUGUUGCUUUGGCGGGCCCGUCUUUAAGCGGACCGCCGGGGACUUGCUCCCUGGCCCGCGCCCGUCAGUAGCCCCAACUAAAUCCUUGAACACUGAUGUCUAAAUACAAAUUAUAAUAACUAAAACUUUCAACAACGGAUCUCUUGGUUCUGGCAUCGAUGAAGAACGCAGCGAAAUGCGAUAAGUAAUGCGAAUUGCAGAAUUCCGUGAGUCAUCGAAUCUUUGAACGCACAUUGCGCCCUUUGGUAUUCCGAAGGGCAUGCCUGUUCGAGCGUCAUUAUCAACCCUCAAGCCCGGCUUGCUGUUGGGUCUCACCGCCAGCGAUGACGGUGGACCCCAAAGAUAAUGGCAGAGUCUUGUGGACCCUGGAUGCAGCGAGCUCUUCAGCACGCGUCUCGGCGGUUUUCGGGCUCGGUCGAAACCAAUUUAUUUUACCAGGUUGACCUCGGAUCAGGUAGGGAUACCCGCUGAACUUAAGCAUAUCAAUAAGCGGAGGAAAAGAAACCAACUGGGAUUGCCUCAGUAACGGCGAGUGAAGCGGCAACAGCUCAAAUUUGAAAUCUGGCUCCUCUGGGGGUCCGAGUUGUAAUUUGUAGAGGAUGCUUCGGGCAAGGCGGUGGUCUAAUUUGCUUGGAACAGCGAGUCAGAGAGGGUGAGAAUCCCGUCUAGGAUCGCCAGCCGCGUCCAUGUGAAGCUCCUUCGACGAGUCGAGUUGUUUGGGAAUGCAGCUCUAAAUGGGUGGUAAAUUUCAUCUAAAGCUAAAUAUUGGCCAAGAGACCGAUAGCGCACAAGUAGAGUGAUCGAAAGAUGAAAAGCACUUUGAAAAGAGAGUUAAACAGUAUGUGAAAUUGUUGAAAGGGAAGCGCUUGCAACCAGACUUGCGUGUAACGGUUCCCCCGGCCUUCUGGCCGGGUUACUCCGUUAUCUCCAGGCCAGCAUCGGUUUGGGUGGUCGGUAAA
rnacentral:rRNA from 1 species